rnacentral:rRNA from 1 species
GAUUAUUGGGCGUAAGAGCUCGUAGGCGGUUUGUCGCGUCUGCCGUGAAAGUCCGGGGCUCAACUCCGGAUCUGCGGUGGGUACGGGCAGACUAGAGUGAUGUAGGGGAGACUGGAAUUCCUGGUGUAGCGGUGAAAUGCGCAGAUAUCAGGAGGAACACCGAUGGCGAAGGCAGGUCUCUGGGCAUUAACUGACGCUGAGGAGCGAAAGCAUGGGGAGCGAACAGGAUUAGAUACCCUGGUAGUCCAUGCCGUAAACGUUGGGCACUAGGUGUGGGGGACAUUCCACGUUUUCCGCGCCGUAGCUAACGCAUUAAGUGCCCCGCCUGGGGAGUACGGCCGCAAGGCUAAAACUCAAAGGAAUUGACGGGGGCCCGCACAAGCGGCGGAGCAUGCGGAUUAAUUCGAUGCAACGCGAAGAACCUUACCAAGGCUUGACAUGAACCGGUAAUACCUGGAGACAGGUGCCCCGCUUGCGGUCGGUUUACAGGUGGUGCAUGGUUGUCGUCAGCUCGUGUCGUGAGAUGUUGGGUUAAGUCCCGCAACGAGCGCAACCCUCGUUCUAUGUUGCCAGCACGUGAUGGUGGGGACUCAUAGGAGACUGCCGGGGUCAACUCGGAGGAAGGUGGGGACGACGUCAAAUCAUCAUGCCCCUUAUGUCUUGGGCUUCACGCAUGCUACAAUGGCCGGUACAAAGGGUUGCGAUACUGUGAGGUGGAGCUAAUCCCAAAAAGCCGGUCUCAGUUCGGAUUGGGGUCUGCAACUCGACCCCAUGAAGUCGGAGUCGCUAGUAAUCGCAGAUCAGCAACGCUGCGGUGAAUACGUUCCCGGGCCUUGUACACACCGCCCGUCAAGUCACGAAAGUUGGUAACACCCGAAGCCGGUGGCCUAACCCCUUGUG